CCUACGGGGUGCUGCAGUGGGGAAUAUUGGGCAAUGGGCGCAAGCCUGACCGAGCAACGCCGCGUGAAGGAAGAAGGCUUUCGGGUUGUAAACUUCUUUUCUCAGGGACGCAGCAAGUGACGGUACCUGAGGAAUAAGCCACGGCUAACUACGUGCCAGCAGCCGCGGUAAUACGUAGGUGGCAAGCGUUAUCCGGAUUUACUGGGUGUAAAGGGCGUGUAGGCGGGGACGCAAGUCGGAUGUGAAAACCACGGGCUCAACCUGUGGCCUGCAUAUGAUACUGUGAUUCUUGAGUACUGGAGAGGCAGACGGAAUUCCUGGUGUAGCAGUGAAAUGCGUAGAUAUUAGGAGGAACACCAGUGGCGAAGGCGGUCUGCUGGACAGCAACUGACGCUGAGGCGCGAAGGCGUGGGGAGCAAAAAGGAUUAGAUACCCCGGUAGUC
rnacentral:rRNA from 1 species